GUAAUUCUCGAUAGAUGGGCUCAUCGAUAGAUCAGAUGAAGUUUUCGACAGAUGAACUAUCGGGAACGACAAUUCAUUUCUUUACCUAAGUUCAGUUCCACAAUUUGAACUUUGGUUCCAACAUUGCACGUGUGUUUCGCAUUAACAUGUAUGAAAUGCUAUGAUUUCAUGAUUUGUUGAUUGAUUCGUCGUUGUUUAUGCUUGAUUGAUGCAUUCAUUUUCUAUGUCCCAG
rnacentral:lncRNA from 1 species